rnacentral:tRNA from 1 species
GACAAUGUGGUGCAGUGGUUUGAAUGCUGGACUACAACUCUGGAGAUCAGGAUUCAAUUCCCUGCUCAAUCC